rnacentral:rRNA from 1 species
AGAGUUUGAUCCUGGCUCAGGAUUAACGCUGGCGGCGUGCAUAACACAUGCAAGUCGAACGAUGAAGAUUAUUAGACUUCUUCGGAAUGAAAAUAAUUGGAUUAGUGGCGGACGGGUGAGUAACGCGUGAGUAACCUGCCUUACACAAGGGGAUAGCCGUUGGAAACGACGAAUAAUACCCUAUGAAACUAUCACUUCGCAUGAAGCGAUAGUCAAAGUGUUAGCGGUGUAAGAUGGACUUGCGUCUGAUUAGCUAGUUGGUGAGAAAAAAGCCCACCAAGGCAACGAUCAGUAGCCGGCUUGAGAGAGUGUACGGCCACAUUGGGACUGAGACACGGCCCAGACUCCUACGGGAGGCAGCAGUGGGGAAUUUUGCACAAUGGGGGAAACCCUGAUGCAGCGACGCCGCGUGAUUUAGAAGGCCUUCGGGUUGUAAAAAUCUUUUGUAUAGGAAGAAAAUGACAGUACUAUACGAAUAAGGUCCGGCUAAUUACGUGCCAGCAGCCGCGGUAAUACGUAAGGACCGAGCGUUGUCCGGAAUCAUUGGGCGUAAAGGGUACGUAGGCGGGUCAUUAAGUUAGAAGUCAAAGGCUAUAGCUCAACUAUAGUAAGCUUCUAAAACUGGAGACCUUGAGUAAUGGAAGGGAAAGUGGAAUUCCUAGUGUAGCGGUGGAAUGCGCAGAUAUUAGGAGGAAUACCGGUGGCGAAGGCGACUUUCUGGCCAUUAACUGACGCUGAGGUACGAAAGCGUGGGUAGCAAACAGGAUUAGAUACCCUGGUAGUCCACGCCGUAAACGAUGAGUGUUAGGUGUCUGGAGUAAAUCUGGGUGCCGCAGCUAACGCAUUAAACACUCCGCCUGGGGGAGUACGCACGCAAGUGUGAAACUCAAAGGAAUUGACGG